rnacentral:rRNA from 1 species
UGGGGAAUAUUGGACAAUGGGGGGAACCCUGAUCCAGCCAUGCCGCGUGAGCGAUGAAGGCCUUAGGGUUGUAAAGCUCUUUCACCGGUGACGAUGAUGACGGUAGCCGGAGAAGAAGCCCCGGCUAACUCCGUGCCAGCAGCCGCGGUAAUACGGAGGGGGCAAGCGUUGUUCGGAAUGACUGGGCGUAAAGGGCGCGCAGGCGGUCUGUUGCGUCAGGCGUGAAAGCCCCGGGCUCAACCCGGGAACUGCGCUUGAUACGGGCAGGCUUGAAGCCGGCAGAGGGUGGUGGAAUUCCCAGUGUAGCGGUGAAAUGCGUAGAUAUUGGGAAGAACACCAGUGGCGAAGGCGCUCUACUGGGCCGCAACUGACACUGAGGGACGAAAGCUAGGGGAGCGAAUGGGAUUAGAUACCCGUGUAGUCC